GCUCUGUAUUUUUUCUAUCUGGAUUUCUAUCAGUAUUUCUGUCUCUUUAACUCAGCACUGCCUCUCUCUGUGGCACCAGGAAGUAGCCGCGCGCCGUGGAGGUGGGAGACAAAACCCGCGUCGAACUGCAGCCUCAACGGCAUUUCAGAGGAGCCAUUCCCCGGUUCGGUCCUCCGCUGUCCCGCUAUCGAACUGAUCGCUGGAGGGGUGGAAACCCGGAACCUCUCCCUGGUUCCCUGCCACAGAGGGGCUGGGUCUGCUGGGUCUGCUGGGUCUGCUCAGCACUCGCUGACCCCCCCCCCUCCCCCCAAACUGGCAACCCGACCGCACAUAUAUCUGCUGCCUUUCACCUGCUUUUAACAGUCCAGAGUUUCCUCAGUCCUCACUGACCCCUCGCCUCCAAACUGGCAACCCGACUGCUUAGUACUCUGAGCUUCACCUGUUUUUCAAAAAUACAGCAGUUCUCACUGACAACCUCCUUCUCAAAACUGGCAACCCAACUGCACCUAUCUGCUGUUUUAAAAGUGCAGUUAAAUGCUGUAUCGAGAAAGAAGAAGACAGUACUGUGAGAAAGUCGUGUUCUACCAACGGCAAAGGGGCUCAAAUUCAAAGCGCCGCAAUUCUGAGCACAACUAGUCUGUUUUUUUUAUGAUUCUCAUGCAUUUAAAGUUUGCAUGUUCUCCUUGUGUGUGUGGGUUGACUCAGUCGCAGUCUAAAAACAUGCAGGUGAGGUAAAUCAGUGCGAGUGUGUGUGUGUGUGGUUGUUUGCGCUGUGAUGGACUGGUAAUCCAUCUAUCUAUAUUCUGUGCUCACAUUAUCCAUCCCAGCUGACUUAUGUGUUCAGGCAGGCUACAUCCUGGACAGGUCACAAACCAUAUUUGACUUUCAAAAUGAAGAUAACACAGUUUAUGACACACACGUACGGUACUGCUCGACUUAUUAAAACUGUAGCUCACACAACAGCCGCUCGCAUGCUGUUUCCAGCUUUAUAGCUCCCGCAUGUUUUCAUUGGCGAAAUAUUCAAACACAGCAUCACUGUUUGCAGGUGAAUUCUUAAAUGUUUCCCGUCCAGAGGCCGAACAGAGACACACGCUCAUAUUCCCGCCGAAGAGCAUCUCAGAGAAGUGCACAGAAAAACCAUGCAAACUUCACUCUGAAAUGAUUUCCAGCCCAGAGUCACGCUGUGCUAAUUCUCUGCUGACCACGACAGCACCGUGCAGCUCAAACCGGCCCAUCCCUGCUACAGUGUGAAUAUAAAAAUAGUACAGUGGGGAUAAAUUGUACUCAAGUGCAGUAAUUUUAAUGGUAUAUAUGGUAUUUUUAUAUGACAGUGCAUUUUCAUGUACAAAGCUUCAUAUUCCAACAUGUUUAUGCCUCACCAAGCCUAAAAGAAUAAAGCAAAGAAUGAUCAAUAGUACGAUAUAGAGUCAAACCAGGGGCCACAUGCAGCCGGACUAAAAUCACCUUUAUAAGACAUAUUCUUAAAAAACAAAAACAAACAAAAAAAACCUGAAUUCUACAGUGAAUAGAUAAAGAAGAGUUGCUGCUUUUCUUGUAAAAUGGCAAGUGAUGCUUUCUUUUACAGUUUUAUAUUUUGCACAGUCAUCCCAGAGGCCGGACCGGACCUUCUGUCUGGAGGGGAAGUUCUCACUGACUGACACCAACAAUCCGUACUCAAAGUAAGAAGAACAACCACAAUAUAUUUAAACAAUAAAAGUAAAAUUAAUUUAAAAAAAAAAGAGCCUUGAGACUGACAAAUACACAAUGAGAGCAAAUGAGUAGUUACUUUAUGCAGAGCCCAAUAAGGGCAUGAAAACUAUUUAUAUGUACUUAAUUUAGAAAUAUCUUAUUACUUUAGGACAUCCAACUGAUUAAAAUAGAAAUACUGAUAAAAUAUACUGUCUCUGGAUUUAAUUAUAUUAGCAGCAGACUUGUGGAGUUUCACUGGAAACAUAAGCAGCAUGUUUUUUAAAAGAUCAUUUGCAACCUUUCUUACUUAUAGGUUGGUUAGGCUAAACCAAAGGUGUCAAACACGAGGUUCGUGGUCCCUAAUCAGUCCGCAAAAGGUUGCGAUCCGACCAAGCAAAUGGUAAAAAAUUCAAAGUAAACAGUGAUUUAAAAAAGAAAAACAAAAAAACAAAUUUCUUGAGAGUGGCAGACACAACACAACACUGAGACCUGAACUCAGAUGUAGAGGUAGCAAGUUGUGUACUGCAAAAACACUAAAUAUUCCUCCGCAGUACAAUUUGGAGUUACUCCACUCAAAUACUUUAUACUUUUUUGUUUAUUUCACAUCAUAAAUACGACAUCAAUUUAUUAUCAACUGUUGUUUCACCUCAAAAUAUAAAGCCAAACAACUCCACACACUCGUAUUCACGCCGACGAGCACGUUACAGUCAGCAGACGGCCUCAAGCACGCCUUUAGACUGCAGCAGGAAACCAGAGUACCCAGAGAGAAUGUGCAAACUCCACAUAGACUCAAACUGGAAAUACGCUUGCACCAUAUAUGUUGAUUUAAAAAAGAAGAAAAAAUCCCAUAAAUUCUUACUCAUUUCUGUAAUAUUAGGCUGUGAGUACCUGCUCCACUAUUAAAGGACUUAACGCCUAAAAAAAUAAUAAAUAAUAAUGGUGAUAACAUGGUAAAGAACUGUCCGUUUGUUGUAUUAGAUCCCCAUAAAGUCAUUAUCUACCCGCCAUAAUACAUAUUUAACAAAGUUCAGGAGUAUUUUACUGGUUUCUUGUGUAAAAGGAACAAAAUUCUAUCAAUACCACCAAAAAAUAUCAUCUGCAAGUCAACAAUUAACUCCAGAUGCAUGUUUUUGCAAAAAAAAAAAAAAAAAAA